UGACGAGGAGCUUGCUCCUUUGACGUUAGCGGCGGACGGGUGAGUAACACGUGGGUAACCUACCUAUAAGACUGGAAUAACUCCGGGAAACCGGGGCUAAUGCCGGAUAACAUAUCGAACCGCAUGGUUCGAUAGUGAAAGACGGUCUUGCUGUCACUUAUAGAUGGACCCGCGCCGUAUUAGCUAGUUGGUGAGGUAACGGCUCACCAAGGCAACGAUACGUAGCCGACCUGAGAGGGUGAUCGGCCACACUGGAACUGAGACACGGUCCAGACUCCUACGGGAGGCAGCAGUAGGGAAUCUUCCGCAAUGGGCGAAAGCCUGACGGAGCAACGCCGCGUGAGUGAUGAAGGUCUUCGGAUCGUAAAGCUCUGUUGUUAGGGAAGAACAAAUGUGUAAGUAACUGUGCACAUCUUGACGGUACCUAACCAGAAAGCCAC
rnacentral:rRNA from 1 species